rnacentral:rRNA from 1 species
AUUGAACGCUGGCGGCAUGCUUUACACAUGCAAGUCGAACGGCAGCGCGGGCUUCGGCCUGGCGGCGAGUGGCGAACGGGUGAGUAAUACAUCGGAACGUGCCCAGUAGUGGGGGAUAGCUCGGCGAAAGCCGGAUUCAUACCGCAUACGACCUGAGGGUGAAAGCGGGGGAUCUUCGGACCUCGCGCUAUUGGAGCGGCCGAUGGCAGAUUAGCUAGUUGGUGGGGUAAAGGCCUACCAAGGCGACGAUCUGUAGCUGGUCUGAGAGGACGACCAGCCACACUGGGACUGAGACACGGCCCAGACUCCUACGGGAGGCAGCAGUGGGGAAUUUUGGACAAUGGGCGAAAGCCUGAUCCAGCAAUGCCGCGUGUGUGAUGAAGGCCUUCGGGUUGUAAAGCACUUUUGGCGGGAACGAAAAGGACUGUGCCAAUACCACGGUUCGAUGACGGUACCCGCAGAAUAAGCACUGGCUAACUACGUG